UGAUAAUUACUUUGUCAUUGUCAUUUUAUCUGCCGUAGCAGAAGAAUUCUCUAUUACAGAGUCUUGACUAAGAAUGCUUUUUUCUUUUGCUAAGUAGCCAGGGCACUGUAGGUUAUGAAAUUAAAGCUUAAAUUAUAGUAGGGUAAAGUGGUUGGACCCAGGAACACAGAUACAUUUGUAUCCUUGGUUGGCCUGACGUGCCAUCAGAAAGUUAGGAAAUUCUUCAAAAUAUUCAGCUAAAUGAAAUCCUCCAUAAAUUAAAAGGGUUUGCUUUAGCUUUGUGACCUAGGGUUAUACAUUAUGCUAAGCAAGUAUAACAGACUAUGUUCAAAGGCUAAAGAGCAGGUAGUAAGUGUUUAAAGCAGCAAGAGUCGUGUUUAAAAAAAAAAAAAAAGUCUUUAAAAAUGGAUUGUUCUAGGCUAUAAUAAACUAUGAAUUGUAAGAGGUUAAUUGACAAAAUGAUACUCGUCUAACGCCAUCUCUGCAACAGCAAUCAUUGCUGAAUCCAUAAUUCAGGGGUCUCGCUAUAUUGACAAUUACAUUUCCUCAGAAAGACUCCAGUUAUUUCCUCAGUCUGUUUAACCUAUGGUAAUUAAUUAUAGAUUUACAAGCGGUACACAGGCAGAUACAGGUAUCUGCAACCACGGCACUGCUGGCAAGAAAGAAAAACGCCUGCCUGCAGCCCGGGGCGGCCCAGAUAUCAGUAUGAAGAUUCAUGCCAUGAAUUGACCUUCGCCUCGCUCGCCGUCCGAAUCAGAAAGCCAGCGCGGGUGAUGAAAAGCAACAGUUCCCCAACGGGAAGCCAGACGGAGUCACUGGUAUUGCUGUUUUGCAGAAAGGAGUUGCCAGGCACUGGCUACGUCGGUGCCUUUUGUGAGCAGAAGGAAGUGCCACACGUUCACUUCUCUCCACGCCUGCCACGGUCUGUACCCAAAAAAAUGGCGCAGACUUGCUAAGACGGGGCUAUUAUAAUGUCUUCUUAAUUACAAUUCAUUACUACUUUUUUUUUUUUUAACAGUACAAACUUCUCAGCUAUAACAAAAGAUGUUUAAGAAACAAACCUUGUCAAAAUAAAUGAAUUAAGAGCA